rnacentral:antisense_RNA from 1 species
UCCCGUUGUCAUGGAGGUAGGCUCUCUAGGAAUCUGGGAGUAGUAGCGGGGGGGGCAAGAGCAAAUAAAGAGCUCGAGCUUCUGUGGUCUCUGGGGAGAUGUUCCCGGGAAGCCUGGCUAGAGGGCGGAGGGCAGCUGUUGAGAUGGCGUGGCUUCCCGGCUCCUGCGCCCGCGUGGCUUUCGCGGCGGUCGCUGCGGCCCGGCAUUGGACAGCCUGGCAGGGCAGCGCGGGGCCGAAUCUGGCUGCCGUGGCAGAGGCUCAUGGAUCACUCCUUUGUGGUAGGGCCACAUCUGCCAGAGCCUGGAGUCUGCGAAGGCCGGGACCCGGUUCCCCGGCCCGCCGUGGGGAGUGUGCAAACCCGAGAGAACUGGAUUGCGUACCCACUGCAGAGGGCUGAAGACGGGGUAGCCACGAGGUUGCAAAUUCGUGAAGAAUCAGCAGCAUGUUUGGCAGCUGAGUAUUGGAGCCAGGAGCCUGCCAUGAGGUUUUGAGAACAGGGUGCUGUUUUAGAGCUGGCAGCAGCAUCUCAGCCCAAGAGAAGGUUAUAUUCCCAGAGGAUGUCAGUCCCAAGGACCAGUAGCUGCCAUCAGUUUGGAUUCUGAAAACUAACCGGCAUCAACAUUGGGUGUAGAAACAUGCUUGCCUUGUGUAUCAGAGGACAUGCUCAGCAGAUCCAAGAGAUAUAUUUGGCAACUUUUUCUAGAAAAGGCACAUUAGGUAUCAUUCAUUACAUUCUUGAGUUUUUUUGGGGUUUUUUUUUUUUUUGAGACAGUCUUGCUGUGUUGCCCAGGCUGGAGUGUGGUGGCACAAUCACAGCUCAUUGCAGCCUCAAUCACCCAGGCCUAAGCAAUCCUCCCACCUUGUAGCUGGGACUACAGCUCACAGCACACCUGGCUAAAAUUUUUUUUUGUUGAGACGGAUUCUCUAUGUUGCUCAGGCUGGUCUCAAGCUCCUGGGCUUAGAUGGUCCUCCUGCCUCAGCUUCCAAAGGCACAGGCCAAGUUGUAGCUUUGUCCCUUGCCAUCAUGCCCAACAAGAGGUUCUAUACCUUUUAAUGAACUGACUUUCAUAAAUUGGUUAUGUUGGUGGGCAAGUUCUUUAAGCUGGAAAUUGUAAAUUCCUCCUGAAAUGUUUUUUCAUGCAGUUACCAUGAACUAAUACUACAAUAAAGGAUGGUCUUGGGUGUCAAUUCUUGAAAA